UACGGAGGGGGCUAGCGUUGUUCGGAAUUACUGGGCGUAAAGCGCGCGUAGGCGGACCUGCAAGUCGGGGGUGAAAGCCCGAGGCUCAACCUCGGAACUGCCUUCGAUACUGCGGGUCUCGAGUCCGGGAGAGGUGAGUGGAAUUCCUAGUGUAGAGGUGAAAUUCGUAGAUAUUAGGAAGAACACCAGUGGCGAAGGCGGCUCACUGGACGACUGUUGACGCUGAGGUGCGAAAGCGUGGGGAGCAAACAGG
rnacentral:rRNA from 1 species